GAUGAAAGACGGUUCGGCUGUCACUUACAGAUGGACCCGCGGCGCAUUAGCUAGUUGGUGAGGUAACGGCUCACCAAGGCGACGAUGCGUAGCCGACCUGAGAGGGUGAUCGGCCACACUGGGACUGAGACACGGCCCAGACUCCUACGGGAGGCAGCAGUAGGGAAUCUUCCGCAAUGGACGAAAGUCUGACGGAGCAACGCCGCGUGAGUGAUGAAGGUUUUCGGAUCGUAAAGCUCUGUUGUUAGGGAAGAACAAGUGCAAGAGUAACUGCUUGCACCUUGACGGUACCUAACCAGAAAGCCACGGCUAACUACGUGCCAGCAGCCGCGGUAAUACGUAGGUGGCAAGCGUUGUCCGGAAUUAUUGGGCGUAAAGGGCUCGCAGGCGGUUUCUUAAGUCUGAUGUGAAAGCCCCCGGCUCAACCGGGGAGGGUCAUUGGAAACUGGGAAACUUGAGUGCAGAAGAGGAGAGUGGAAUUCCACGUGUAGCGGUGAAAUGCGUAGAGAUGUGGAGGAACACCAGUGGCGAAGGCGACUCUCUGGUCUGUAACUGACGCUGAGGAGCGAAAGCGUGGGGAGCGAACAGGAUUAGAUACCCUGGUAGUCCACGCCGUAAACGAUGAGUGCUAAGUGUUAGGGGGUUUCCGCCCCUUAGUGCUGCAGCUAACGCAUUAAGCACUCCGCCUGGGGAGUACGGUCGCAAGACUGAAACUCAAAGGAAUUGACGGGGGCCCGCACAAGCGGUGGAGCAUGUGGUUUAAUUCGAAGCAACGCGAAGAACCUUACCAGGUCUUGACAUCCUCUGACAACCCUAGAGAUAGGGCUUUCCCUUCGGGGACAGAGUGACAGGUGGUGCAUGGUUGUCGUCAGCUCGUGUCGUGAGAUGUUGGGUUAAGUCCCGCAACGAGCGCAACCCUUGAUCUUAGUUGCCAGCAUUCAGUUGGGCACUCUAAGGUGACUGCCGGUGACAAACCGGAGGAAGGUGGGGAUGACGUCAAAUCAUCAUGCCCCUUAUGACCUGGGCUACACACGUGCUACAAUGGACAGAACAAAGGGCUGCGAGACCGCAAGGUUUAGCCAAUCCCACAAAUCUGUUCUCAGUUCGGAUCGCAGUCUGCAACUCGACUGCGUGAAGCUGGAAUC
rnacentral:rRNA from 1 species